rnacentral:rRNA from 1 species
CCUACGGGAGGCAGCAGUGAGGAAUAUUGGUCAAUGGACGCAAGUCUGAACCAGCCAUGCCGCGUGCAGGAUGACGGCUCUAUGAGUUGUAAACUGCUUUUGUACGAGGGUAAACCCCGAUACGUGUAUCGUGUUGAACGUAUCGUACGAAUAAGGAUCGGCUAACUCCGUGCCAGCAGCCGCGGUAAUACGGAGGCUCCGAGCGUUAUCCGGAUUUAUUGGGUGUAAAGGGUGCGUAGGCGGUUUGAUAAGUUAGAGGUGAAAUGUCGUGGCUCAACCCCGAAACUGCCUCUUAUACUGUUGGACUAGAGAAUAGUUGCGGUAGGCGGAAUGUAUGGUGUAGCGGUGAAAUGCUUAGAGAUCAUACAGAACACCGAUUGCGAAGGCAGCUUACCAAACUAUAUCUGACGUUGAGGCACGAAAGCGUGGGUAGCAAACAGGAUUAGAUACCCGAGUAGUC